rnacentral:rRNA from 1 species
GACGAACCGUGCGAACGUUGUUCGGAAUCACUGGGCUUAAAGGGCGCGUAGGCGGGCCCGCAAGUCAGGGGUGAAAUCCCACGGCUCAACCGUGGAAGUGCCUUUGAUACUGCGGAUCUCGAGGGAGGUAGGGGCGUGCGGAACUUCCGGUGGAGCGGUGAAAUGCGUAGAUAUCGGAAGGAACACCGGUGGCGAAGGCGACAUCCUGGACCGGUAUUGACGCUGAGGCGCGAAAGCCAGGGGAGCAAACGGG